AAUUCUUCGGCGGUUAGCUUCCUUUAUAGUCCAACUGUUACAUCCAUACGUGACUACUGGGAAAACCAUAGCUUUGACUAGACGGACUUUUGUUGGCAAAGUAAUGUCUCUGCUUUUUAAUAUGUGGCCCUUAGUGUCACCCAUAACAGGCACCCAAUCGAAAGAGACUGAACCCUUCACAGUAUCAGGGAAAGCGUCAUGGCAUCCGGUCCCUGAGAGCGGCAGAAACUGCCCAGCCCGACAAGUAGUAGGUGAACUCCCUUGACUCGGGAUUUCCGCACCACCUCCUCCCCCGCCUCUAGGAUUUUUUUUUUUCUGCCCUCCCGCGCCGAUGCACUGUUUCUUCUGUGAUCCGAACCAUAAAAAUUUCCAUACACAAGUGGGGCCUUAGAAACCCAGUGUCUCGGAUUUCGCCCGGCCGGAGGUGCUGAGUCGCCGAUUUGCCCAGGUCCCCAGGGGCAAGAUGGGGCGGAAUGGGGGGUUCCAAGCUGUCCCGCCCCUCUGUCGGGCUCUUUCACCCAAGCUGAGGGCUGGAGCCUCCACCAGGUAGAAUUCUCAGCAGGCAGCCCAGGGCUGGCCCCUCCCGGGGACCGGGAAAGGGGCGGGACUCGAUGAGUGGGCGGGGCUUGAACUGCUUGUGGGCGGGGCAAGGCGGAGUUGAAGACCCGGCCUGCGCAGAGAGCUCGGCUAACUGGGUAAAGCGCUGGAGGGACAGGGACGCGGCUCUGAGUGGGGUGGCGACCCGGGGCAGAGUCUGCCAGCGUGUGGGGGUGAGGCCGGGGGCCCCUCUACGGCGUCCCGCCCCUCCGGUCCAGCGUUCGGUCCACAGCCCCCACCUUCUGCCCCGUGCCGGCCUUUCUGUGCGACAGUCGCCGUGUCCCAUCUUCGCGGGGCCCUUGUGGCGCCCGUGUCUACAGUGUCGGGACCUGGGCACGCCGGUGGAGGCGGGCGCGCAAGGCGAGGACGACGGCUUCAGGGAAGCCGGUGACUCGAUGCGGGGGGUUGGGUGCUGCUGAAGCGACUUUUGCUUUUUCGGGGAUGCCGUCCUGGGAAGGGGAAUCGAGGCUGGGAAAGAACCCCAGAGCCCUCCCAUCCCCCGCCCCAGGGUGGGUCUGGGGCUGCCUCCGCCCUUUUGGAGUUUCCGGGGCGAGCACCUGCGAGUAGGUCCCUGGAAACCGCAGCAUGGGAGAACCGGCCCCGUUUUACCGCUGGGGAUACUGAGGCCGCUACAGGGUCACUCGCCCUUUGGGAUUGGGAUUUGCUUCAGCCACUUUUUUCAGCCCCGGUGGAGACGGAGGCUCCUGAGGGGACGGGGCUGGGCGUGGACCCUCUUUGCUCGGCCAGAGCGUCUAUCUGGGUGGGCGUCAGCAUUCCUAGCCACCUUUGCUGGUAGUGGUCUGGAGCCCUGGCAAAUGUGACUUGCUUACAAAACAUCCUGUUGCCUGCACAGCACUGCAGGGGAAAGGAAGGAGGGAGGGUCAGGAGAGAGAACUAUCAGCUCCCUUCUCACCUUCUGGAGUCUCCGUUCCCCCAUCUGUAAAAUAAGGAUAAUGGUGCGGGCUGUGCGGGUUGACUCCUUCCCAUGAGGACGGCGUGGGAAGGAGCAUGAAGGGCAGCUGCAGAAAAGAAGCCCGACACUCACCCCCAGCCAGGUGACCAAGUUCCCAGACUGUGAAUUGACCCUGUGCCCCUGCAGUGGAAACACAGAGUCCUGACCAGUGGACCACCAGGGAAGUCCCGUAACUGUUUUUAAGAGGCUUCUGGCAACCCUACAUCAAGCGAGCCUGUAGGCGUUUUUCCAACAGCAUUUGCUUACGUCAUGUCUCCGUCAGGUUUUGCAAUAAAAUGUUUUGUUAAAAAAAAAACAGAGGGAGAUUAUGCACAAAGGAGAAGGCGAUGAGAAGACAAGCAGAUACUGGAGUAGUGAGGCCACCCAUGCAUGAGUGCUGGAGAGGCAAGGACCAGUCCCCUGGAGACUCCCGAGGGCGUGUGGCUGCCCACACCUUAGAGUCAGCACAGUGAACCUCUGAUUUGGGGCUUCUGGCCUUCGGAAUGUGUUGUUUUAAGCCAAUAAAUGAUUGUUUGUUGUAGUAA